AGAGUUUGAUCCUGGCUCAGGAUGAACGCUAGCGGCAGGCUUAACACAUGCAAGUCGAGGGGUAACAGGUCCCUUUCGGGAUGCUGACGACCGGCGCACGGGUGAGUUACGCGUAUGCAACCUGCCCAUAGCUGGAGGAUAGCCCGGAGAAAUCCGGAUUAAUACUCCAUAAUAUUUCGAAACCGCAUGAUUUUGAAAUUAAAGUUUCGGCGGCUAUGGAUGGGCAUGCGUGCCAUUAGCUUGUUGGUAAGGUAACGGCUUACCAAGGCUACGAUGGCUAGGGGUUCUGAGAGGAUGAUCCCCCACACUGGUACUGAGACACGGACCAGACACCUACGGGUGGCAGC
rnacentral:rRNA from 1 species